rnacentral:rRNA from 1 species
AGGACGAACGCUGGCGGCGUGCUUAACACAUGCAAGUGGAGCGACGAACCAGGGCUUGCCCUGUGGCAGAGCCGCGAACGGGUGAGUAACACGUGGGUUACCUGCCUCGAUGACCGGGACAACCCGAGGAAACUCGGGCUAAUACCGGAUGUGCCCGUAAGGGGAAAGGAAGCUUCGGCCUCCGCAUCGAGAUGGGCCCGCGGCCCAUUAGCUUGUUGGUGAGGUAACGGCUCACCAAGGCUUCGAUGGGUAGCUGGUCUGAGAGGACGAUCAGCCACACUGGGACUGAGACACGGCCCAGACUCCUACGGGAGGCAGCAGUGGGGAAUCUUGCGCAAUGCGCGAAAGCGUGACGCAGCAACGCCGCGUGGGGGAAGAAGGCUUUCGGGUUGUAAACCCCUUUCAGUUGGGACGAAGCUUCUUCGGUGAAUAGCCGAACGGAGUGACGGUACCUUCACAAGAAGCACCGGCUAACUACGCGCCAGCAGCCGCGGU